rnacentral:misc_RNA from 1 species
GAUGAAGAACGUAGCGAAAUGCGAUAAGUAGUGUGAAUUGCAGAAUCCAGUGAAUCAUCGAAUCUUUGAACGCACAUUGCGCCCCUUGGUAUUCCAUGGGGCAUGCCUGUUCGAGCGUCAUUUGUACCUUCAAGCUUUGCUUGGUGUUGGGUGUUUGUCUCGCCUCCGCGUGUAGACUCGCCUCAAAACAAUUGGCAGCCGGCGUAUUGAUUUCGGAGCGCAGUACAUCUCGCGCUUUGCACUCACAACGACGACGUCCAAAAGUACAUUUUUACACUCUUGACCUCGGAUCAGGUAGGGAUACCCGCUGAACUUAAGCAUAUCAAUAAGCGGAGGA